GUACUAACAAACAGUAUUCGCAUAAUUGUUAUUUCGUUUGGGUUCUAUGUUUUUUUGACAAUUAAAAAGAUAGUUAUUCAAAAGCUCCACAGAGGGCUACACGAUCGCCCGUUUCGCAACAUUUCGUGUCCGCUUUAGAUCGCUCGUUGCCAUAACCUAUACUUAAAAGUUAAUCUUUUUUUUAUUUAUAAUUAACAUUUUCUGCAACAUUUUUGGAAGUUAUACACAAGCAACAUUCAACGUCAAUACUGGUUAAUCGGAUCAACCGCUCAGAGUUCGUAGAUACGAAGUGUAUAAAGUUGAGAGCAAAGAGUCUUUGGUUGAGUGUAGUAGAGCUUUGAUAUCACUAGUGGUCAACAGAGCUGAACAGAUCAGUGUCGGGCAGUGACCUACCCACACAGCUAUUCGAACGUCGUACCCGUUUGAAAGAAGAAGCAGGGAUGGAUUUUAUAAGGCGUAAUAGAUUCUUGAUUGUAAUGGUACCUUACCUCGGAUUUAUUCACUGGGCUUGGUACAAGAUGCAAGGAAAUGAAAAAUUUGUGUCCAAGGCUGACAAAGAGAGAGUUGCUUCCACUCCAGUGUAUAAAGUUUUGGACAAAGUCUUUGGUAAAUGGUCAUGAUAUUGUAUGUGGUAGAAAGUGAUCAAAGCAAUGAAAUGAAUGUUUUUGUAAGUUAGUUAAUUGUCAAUUUAUUUGGAUUGUGGAGUUAAUACAUUACAUUGUGAAUGUAUUGAAUUUUGCUGAACUAUAUAAAAAUAAAGUUCAAUGUGGUUGGUCUGAUUGCAUAUA